UACUGGCAGGAUCAACCAGGCAACGAUAAAGAACAAAUACCCUCUUCUGCGGAUCGACGAGCUCUUCGACCAGCUUCAGGGUGCGCAACACUUUUCGAAGAUCGAUCUGAGAUCGGGUUAUCAUCAGCUUCAGGUCAGAGAGCAAGAUAUACAGAAGACAGCUAUUUGGACACGCUACGGCCAUUAUGAGUUCCUAGUCAUGCCGUUCGGUCUGACGAACACACCAGCAGUGUUCAUGGCCCUGAUGAACAAGAUCUUCUCACCAUAUCUGGACUGUUUUACCGUGGUCUUCAUCUACGAUGUACUAGUCUACUCAAAGUCGAGGGAGGAGCACGAACAACGCUUGAGGACAUCAUUGCAGUUACUACGCGACAAUCAGUUGUACGCGAAGCUCAGCA
rnacentral:misc_RNA from 1 species